AGUGAACGCUGGCGGCAUGCCUAACACAUGCAAGUCGAACGGCAGCGCAGUCUGCGCCCUCGCUUCGGGGGGGCGACGGGCGGGCGAUUGAGCGGAACAUCCGCAUCUACUUUUUCUAGCGCGGCAACAUCCGGAUUAAUACCGCAUUAGACCAUAGGAUCAACGGGGGGAAGCGAAGGACCUCCGGCCAUUGCACCAUUCGAUGUCGGAUUAGCUAGUUGGUGGGGUAAAGGCUUACCAAGGCGCCGAUCCGUAGCUGGUCUGAGAGGAUGACCAGCCACACUGGAACUGAGACACGGUCCAGACUCCUACGGGAGGCAGCAGUGGGGAAUUUUGGACAAUGGGCGCAACCCUGAUCCAGCCAUGCCGCGUGCGGGAAGAAGGCCUUCGGGUUGUAAACCGCUUUUGUUGGGGAAGAAAACCUCUGGGUUAAUACCCCGGGGGUCUGACGGUACCGAAAGAAUAAGCACCGGCUAACUUCGUG
rnacentral:rRNA from 1 species